GGGGCUGUACUGGCUUCGACGGGGGAUUGCGGUUGCCUUGUAAGCGUACCGAGUUUCGCAUGAUCUCGUAAAAUUGUGCACCUAAACUUAAACGCUAAAAAUAAUAACUUAGCUUUUGCAGCGUAAGCUGUAAACUUUCUACCUGCUGUGCCUGAGAUGCAGGAUAGGGAGCCAAACCAUCAGGCUACCGAGUGAUCAUCGAGAAAUAGUCACCCGGGAAACUUAUUUCUCUCGCAGGAUACUAGUUUGAUUGUGGACGCGCAUCCUGUUAAAUUAAAACAUAAUCUACGUACGUAGAAAGCUUGGGAACUGGUCUUUCGGACAGGGGUUCGACUCCCCUCAGCUCCA
rnacentral:tmRNA from 1 species